UGCUGAAGUCUCUGACUAUUAAUUUGUGAGAUUCAAUGUGUGAUUUAAGCUUUAGUAAUAUUUCUUUUAUGAAUGACACUACCCUUACAUUUACAUCAUAGAUGUUCAUUAUUGAAUGGUUUUAGUCAUGGGUUUUUCCUUCAGUGAGUAUAAAGUGUUCUUCCCCAUCACUUUUGAUUAAUUUUGAUGAAAACUUAUUUUUUGAGACAUGAAAAUCGCUACUUCAACUUGUUUGUUUUUUUGGGUCAAUUUGCUUUCAAAACCUUUUCCAUCCCUAUACUCUGAGGUAAAGGCUAUCUUUAUUCAUCAUUAUUUUUUAGUGUAAUCACCGACACCUACGAACAGGCUCUCGAUAGUAUCCCUAAUGCCCUAUCAAGGCAUACACUCAGAAGAAUUCUCUACAAGACAAUACAAAGCCAACACCCUUUCCUAAGAUCCAGAGAGAGAGAAACAGAAGUGAAGAAAUUAAACACCAUAAACCUAAAAUAGACAAGUGCAGAUAGCAACAACUAUAAUCACAAUCAUCCCAAACCCAGAUAAAUAGACACCAGAGUGAAAUCAAAAUCAUUAACACCCAAGACAGCAAAUCACCACAACCCUACUAGAGGAGACCCUGAGAAAUUCAAUAUAGCCACAGAACAAGACAGUGAUUUCAAAACAUAAAUAAAUCAAGGAUAUAACAGAGGAUGUGGAUAAAACCUAAAUGAUGUCUGUGAAAACAAAAAAGUGAAAUAAAAUACUGAAUAUAGUUGAAGACAUUUUAUUACAAAAGGAAUCGAUAAAAUUAAAAACUAAGUUGUAUCUAGAAAUAAAAAACUGAAGAAGUCGAACAAAACUCAAGUGAUAAGCCUCUCCAACACUGUCCAAAACAUGAAAAAGACAUUCUCAUGACUAGAUAAAAUGCUAUUCCUUAAUUUCUCAUCCAUAAGAUUCUCUGUUUCUUGACUUUUACUGAGCUCUUUAAUCUAUUUUGGUGAGUUUUGUGCAGAGUGAUACAUAGGGAUCUUUUGAAUUAUUGUAUAUGCAUACUUCUAGUUUGACCACAAUAAUGUGUUGAAGAUGCUAUCUUUUUUCCAGUAUUUAUUUCAAGAUUUCUUAUUUUAAAAAUAUCAAUUGUCCAUAGGUAUUUGGAUUUCUGCCUGGGUCUUCGAUCUCAUCAUCGACCAAAGUGUUGUAACUCUGCCAAUACCAUCCUGUUACUUACUACUAUAUAUUUUUUAGUUCAAUUUAAUCUUUGGAUGGGGGAUCCCUCUCGCAGUCCUUAUUUAGGAUUGUUUUAGGUUUCAUGGUUUGUUUGUGCUUCUAUUUGAAGCUGAAAAUUGUCCUUUCAACAUCUAGAAAGAAUUGUCUGGAAUUUUGAUGAGGAUUGCACUGAAUGUUAAUGUUGAUUGUUUGGUUUUUUUUAGGAUGGAGAGUUUUACUCUAUUAAUCUUACUUAUCAAUGAGCAGGGGAGAGCUUCCUAGACCUUGCCCAGGCAUAAAGAUAAACCAUCUUCAAAAAUACAGCAGAUAACUGCAAAUCUUCUCCAUAACAAAGAACUACCAUCAUUCUGAAAAUGUAAAAGUGUACAGAAAGCUAAAAUACUUUCAUCAAUUGCACACCCAAAUAAAGGCUAAUAUUCAAAUGCAUAAAUAAGUCAAAAGAAAAAUUAGAUAUAAAGAAUAUAUAAACUACAAAUAAAACACACAUGUAAUUCUAAAUAAAGGAUUCUUUAUUACUAUUAUUAAUUACAGUUUAUUCACUUUGUAUUCCAGAUGUAGCAUCCUCCCCUAUCCUCUCCCAAUCCUACCCUCCCUUUUCUUUUCCUAUGCCUUUCCGCCAAUCAAAUGAUAGGGUAGGACCUCCUCCCCUUCCAUCUGACACGAGUCUAUCAGGUCUCAUCAGGACUGACUUCAUUGUUUUCCUAUGUGGAGUGGUAAGGCUGCUAUCCCCUCACAUGGAGGUGAUCAAAGAGCCAGCCCAUGAGUUCAUGUCAUGUCACUAUUUGCAGAUGAUAUAUGAUAGUAUACCUGAGUGAUCCCAAAAAUUCUACCUGUGAACGCUUACAGCUGAUAAAUCCAUUCAGCCAAGUGGCUGGAUACAAAAUCAACUCAAAAAAUUUAAUAGCACUCCUAUAUGCAGAAGACAAAAGGGAUGAGAAAGAAUUUGGGAAAACAAUACACUUCACAACAGCCUCAAAGGACAUAAAGUACCUUGGCAUAACUUUAACCAAGCAAGUGAAAGACUUGUAAGAAAAAAAAAAACCUUCAGUCUCUGAAGAAAGAAAUAGAAGAUAUCAGAAGAAAAUUCUUAAAGAAAUAAUUCAAAUGGCUGAGAAACAUUUAAAGAUAUGAGCAAGAUCCAUAGUCACCGGGGAAUUGGAAAUCAAAAGUAGUUUGAGCCUCCUCCUGCAACCUGUGUAUACAUCAGCAGAGAUAUUUCUGAGCAGUUGUGGUUAUUAUGGAAAGACCAACACCUACAUGGAGGCAGAUGUUAACCUCGCUACAUUUAUUCCCAUUUCCAUCCCACUUGAUGGAACUGGGAUCCCACUUGAUGGAACUUGAUGGAUCCCAAACUGAUGAGAUCUUUUUUGACAGAGAACCAAGUCUACUAUGGAAGUUCGACCUAGUGACUUGGAGAAACUAUCAAUAUUUGCUGACCUUAUACUUUGCCAUUGAAGAGAUAAAUAAGGACUCAAACCUGCUUCCCAAUAUGACCUUGGGUUCCCACAUCUACAAUGCUUUUAAUUCUAACAAAAUAACCUUGGAGGACCCUCUGAUAUGGCUGUCUGGAAGGAGUCACAUAUGGAUCAUUUGAUUCCAUGCUUAGUGACAAAGAUACAUUUGCAUUCCUUUAUCAGAUGUCUACUGAAGACAGAGGUCUAGCCCAAGGGCUGAUGUCUUUAUUGCUCCACUUUGGCUGGAAGUGGGUGGGGAUCAUUGUGUCUGAUGAUCAGAGAGGAAGGGAGUUUCUCUCUGACCUGAAAGUAAAGAUGGUAACAGAAGAUAUCUGUGUGGCUUUUAUAGAAAAACUCCCAGAUAAUUUGAAUGUAAAUGUAAACUAUGAUUAUUGUUUGGAAAACUUGAAACAACAUACUCAAGUAAAUGUGAAUUUAUUCUAUGGUGAUAUAGAUGACUUGCUGUUCUGUGUAGACAUUAGUAUCUUUGUAACCAGAAGGAAGGUGUGGAUUUUGGCAAAGCCACACUCGACAUACUUAGAGUCUAUAAUAAAUGAAAAGCAUAUUAUGAUAAACCUAUUCAGUGGAAGCUUAUCAUUUUUAAAGAAGAGAACUAUCCCUGGCUUCAAGCACUUUCUUGAGGCCCUUACACCCUCCCAUUACCCAGGAGAUGUUUACUUCUCUAAACUCUGGAUUGACAAAUUUAAUUGUUCACCUCCUGCUUCGCAAUGUGGAAAUUUUAAACCCUGUCCUUUGAAUAGUUCCCUAAAGACUAAGGAUAAAAUAAAUGAUAUGAUGUCUAUUUCUGAGCCAAGCUAUUCCUUAUGGAGUGCAGUACAUGCAGUGGCCCAUGCCCUACAUAAAAUGCUAUUGAGCAAAAUUGAAAUGGGAU